AGUAAUCUCUGCAGACCACAAUAUUUGUUGACAAGAACGAAUCACUGAACACGUUUAAAUAAAAGAACGCCGUAAGGUCACUUCCGGUGUAGACCGGCAUUUUCUGUCAUCUAUUUUCGCGACUUGUCAAAAUGUCGAUCCGUGACAUAAACGGGCGUUUCCAGUAAGUUAAAGUGAAAUAAACAGUAAUUUAGACCACGACUACACUUCGGGAGUUUAUAUAAACGCAGAGAAACAAUGUCCAGAGAAGAACGUAACCAGUGAUCCUAGUUUGAAGGCUAAUUCAGUAAUUGAACUUUGUGUUUUGUUGGAGAAGUUACGGUUUUGAAAGACUGUGUUUAAGAGAAAGAUUGAUAUAAUUGUAAUUGUUGAUCAUAUUUAUGUGACUGGAGUUAAUGAUAAAAGUCAACUAUUGGACGGAAGUGCUGAUAAUUACAAAGAAAACUAUUAGUGAAAAUACUGUCGCGGUCGCUGGAUUGUCGAAUUCGGACGCUGAUUGACAAUUCAGAUGGAAAUAAAAAAGGCAAGGUGAGGAGGGAAUUAUCGGGGGCAGUAACUGUGUAAAACCGUCGAAAAGGCAUGUCAGUAGCUCAGGAUACUUCAUGGCAUAAACUGGGUUUCGGCAGUCUAAAAUCACACACAUUCUUGAUGUCCAAGCAAAAGUAUGGAGGGCAGAUAGUGAAGUAGGUCAUGUCUCAUCGUAUCUGUGAAACAUAUCUGUGAAACGUGCCAGUGGCGGCAAAGAAACCAGACCGGCCAGGUUGCAAGUGCACAUGACUGUCCACAAGUUGAGGAGUGCAAAAACAAUUUUCUUUUGCUAAAAUGUUUUACUUUGUAUAAUGUUUUUGCAUAAAUUUUUGUAAGGCGUGCACUUUAGCCGUCACAUCUUUUAUUGACCCAAACUUGUUUUUAAUGACCGACAGAAAAAUGUUAUACAGCCUUCGGUCAAGUAAUCUUCAUGUCGAUAGAUGGACUUCAGUAUGUGGCUUGUAUGCCAAACUUGAAAGGUCACAGUAUUUUCAAGUAGUGUGUGCCAUUUUCAGGACCAUCAUGGUCCCCUAGUUGGAAAGUCGAAGAAUAAUUAACAUUAUUGCAUAUUUUAUGUAAAUGAACAUUUAACACCAUGGGAAUACUGAAAUGAAAAUAAAAGUAACUUUGCC